rnacentral:rRNA from 1 species
GACGGAGGGCGCGAGCGUUGUUCGGAAUUACUGGGCGUAAAGCGCACGUAGGCGGGUGGGGAAGCCCACGGUGAAAGCCCGGAGCUCAACUCUGGGACGCCCGUGGGGACUCCUUGCCUAGGGACCGGUAGAGGCCGGUGGAAUUCCCGGUGUAGCGGUGGAAUGCGUAGAGAUCGGGAAGAACACCUGUGGCGAAGGCGACCGGCUGGGCCGGAUCCGACGCUCAUGUGCGAAAGCGUGGGGAGCAAACAGGAUUAGAAACCCCCGUAGUCC